rnacentral:rRNA from 1 species
GAUGAACGCUGGCGGCGUGCCUAAUACAUGCAAGUCGAGCGAACAGAUGAGGAGCUUGCUCCUCUGACGUUAGCGGCGGACGGGUGAGUAACACGUGGAUAACCUACCUAUAAGACUGGGAUAACUUCGGGAAACCGGAGCUAAUACCGGAUAAUAUAUUGAACCGCAUGGUUCAAUAGUGAAAGACGGUUUUGCUGUCACCUAUAGAUGGAUCCGCGCCGCAUUAGCUAGUUGGUAAGGUAACGGCUUACCAAGGCAACGAUGCGUAGCCGACCUGAGAGGGUGAUCGGCCACACUGGAACUGAGACACGGUCCAGACUCCUACGGGAGGCAGCAGUAGGGAAUCUUCCGCAAUGGGCGAAAGCCUGACGGAGCAACGCCGCGUGAGUGAUGAAGGUCUUCGGAUCGUAAAACUCUGUUAUUAGGGAAGAACAAAUGUGUAAGUAACUAUGCACGUCUUGACGGUACCUAAUCAGAAAGCCCCGGCUAACUACGUG